rnacentral:rRNA from 1 species
UCUGGCGGCAGUAGCGCGGUGGUCCCACCUGACCCCAUGCCGAACUCAGAAGUGAAACGCCGUAGCGCCGAUGGUAGUGUAGGGGCUCCCCAUGCGAGAGUAGGGAACUGCCAGAC